AUGUCUAAAUGCGGGUUUAAAGACCCUAUUCCAAAGCAGUCGUGCAAAUGGCUUCAUUCCCCUGACUCCGACUUGACUACAUGUCCCCUAUGCAAACAACUGUGCUGCUCCUCUGCUCCACUCUCCUCCAACUCUUCUACCUCCUCCUCCUCGUCUCAUACCUCAACUAGCUCAUCUACCUCAUCCUCCAGAAGGCUCCACGUCCUCCCAUGCCUCCAUGCCUUCUGCAGGCAGUGUCUGGAGGGCCAGCGGAACCCCGAAGACCCCUUGAAACUCCGGUGCCCGACUUGUGACCUAAAGGUUCUAAUGCCCGUAUCAGGAGUAGAUGCCUUGCCCUCGUCAAACUUUUAUUUAGCAACAUGUUGGAUGCCGUGGUAAAUUUGUCUGAGGAGCAAAUCAACAAUACUGUUAGCAGUAGGGGUAACAACUUUUCUCACAGACACAGCAGAGAGCCCUGUGCAGCUCUUGCAACGAGGGCAAUCCCGCUACCUCUCACUGCCGAGACUGCCAGGAGUACCUUUGUAACAACUGUGUAUGGGCACACCAGAGGGUCCGGCUUACCAAAGACCAUUUCAUUGAUAGACUAGUGGAGAGUCUGUUUCACCAACACCUAGGGAACCGAACCAACAACUCUAACAACACUCCUACUGCCACUCUGAGCCGGUCCUCCUUCCAGUCAAGCUACUCUCUGCUGCCUGUCUUUCAAGACAGAGAGCAUGACAAUGCGGUUCUGCAUUUCUUCUGUGAUACGUGCUCCGUGCCUGUCUUUAGGGAGGCCAGUGUGGGUUGUCACUCGGGCCACAGCCUCCUCAACCUCCAGGAUUCCCUGCAGGACUCCAGGACCCUCACCAUCCAGCUGCUGGCAGACGCCCAGCGAGGCAGGCACGCUGUACAGCUGAGCAUUGAGAAAGCACAGGCCGUUGCUGAGCAGGUGGAACUCAAGGCCAUGGUGGUCCAGUCAGAGGUCAAAGCCAUCACACAGCGUCAUAAGAAGGCCCUGGAGGAACGAGAGUGUGAACUACUGUGGAAAGUUGAGAAUAUCCGUCAGGUGAAAGCCAAGUCCCUCUAUCUCCAGUUAGAGAAGCUGCACCAGAACCUGACCAAGCUGGACAGCACCAUCUCUACAGUAACCCAGGUCCUAGAGAAGGGCAGUAGUCUGGACCUGCUGCUGGCCAGAGAGAGCAUGCUCCUCCAGAUCACAGAGCUUAAGGCCCUCAGGGAGCUGUUACUGCCGCAGGAUGAUGAUCGCAUCCUGUUCACCACCCCCGACCAGACCUUGCUCCUCGCCAUCCAGUCCCUAGGUCUGGUCAGCUCCGGGGCCUUCGCCCCCCUCACCAAGGCCCAGGGAGAGGGGCUUUGUCGGGGCUUGCAGGGUAAGCAGGCUUCCUUCACUGUGGUGGGGUAUGAUCAUGAUGGAGAGCUCAGGCUGUCUGGUGGGGACGGUGUGUCAGCUGUGGUGGUGGCGUCCGAUGGUAACCUGCUAAACGCUGAGGUGACCGACCAUCAGAACGGGUUGUACACGGUCAGCUACCUGCCCAAGGUAGAAGGAGAACAUCUGGUGUCAGUCCUUAUCUGCAACCAGCACAUCGAAGGCAGCCCCUUUAAAGUGCUGGUCAAGUCUGGCCGUAGCUAUAGAGGUACCCCCUUUCCGGUGGCCUCGUUCGGCAGGGAGGGGGACGGAGAUGGGCAGCUGUGUCGCCCUUGGGGGGUGUGUGUGGACAAAGAGGGCUACAUAAUCGUAGCUGACCGAAGCAACAACAGGGUGCAGAUCUUCAAGCCGUGCGGUUCCUUCCACCACAAGUUUGGUACGCUGGGCUCCAGACCAGGCCAGUUGGACCGACCAGCUGGGGUGGCCUGCGACAGCCAGAGGAGAAUCAUCGUUGCCGACAAGGAUAAUCACCGCAUCCAGAUCUUCACCUUUGAAGGCCGGUUCCUCCUCAAGUUCGGGGAGAAGGGAACCAAGACCGGUCAGUUCAGCUACCCCUGGGACGUGGCGGUCAGCUCGGAGGGAAAGAUCCUCGUCUCAGACACCCGGAACCACCGCAUCCAGCUCUUCAGGCAGGACGGCACCUUCCUCAACAAGUACGGCUUUGAGGGGGCUCUAUGGAAACACUUGGACUCCCCCAGAGGCGUGGCCUUCACUCAGGAGGACCACCUGGUGGUGACAGACUUCAACAACCACCGUCUGUUGAUCAUCCGGUCGGACUGCCAGUCGGCCCGCUUCCUGGGAUCAGAGGGAAGCGGUAACGGUCAGUUCCUGCGGCCGCAGGGCGUAGCAGUGGACCAGGAGGACCGCAUCGUGGUGGCUGACUCCCGGAACCACCGGAUCCAGGUGUUUCAAACCAACGGUAAUUUCUUAUGCAAGUUGGGGACUCAGGGUAGCAGCUUUGGACAGAUGGAUCGCCCAUCGGGUAUAGCUGUUACUCCUGACGGAAGGAUUGUUGCCGUGGACUUUGGAAACAACCGAAUCAUUAUGUUCUAGGCUAGGCAGUUUGUCUGCUGGUUUGCAAAGGAAGAAACAUUGAAGAGGAGAUUUUGAAACACACCCAGCAGAUGCAAAUGUCUUUGUGAGCAAAUGGAGAUGGUAAUAUUGAAACUUGACCUUUUCUCUCAGCUUUACCUCUAUUUUGAAAGAGCAAAUCAAUGUAGAACAUGAACCGCUGCCAACAAGGGGUUAUUGUCAUAAGCUGACAUUUUGAACCCUAUAGAAGGCCUUCUGUGACAGUAUCUGGCUCGAUAGUUGUCUUUGCUCCUGAUGUGUGCGUCAAAAUCUCUGAUUUUCUCAGGGAAUUUCUUGCAUUGUUGAAAUACUUCCACUGCAUCAUACCUACCUCAUGUAGCUGUGUAUGAAUGUACUCCUUUAUUAUUUGAUGCAUAGAUUUUGCUAGUGGAGUUUUGAUAAAGUAACUACCUCAAUGCAAGAGAAAAGUAUAGUUAACAUGAAGCAACAUUUGGUUGAUAUUUGCACAGAAAGCACUCACACAUUUUCUCUAAUUGUUACUGUUGACAUAAAGUGUGUGAAAUCCCAGAAUGUUGCUGAGAACAAUGUAUUUCCUGUGUUACAUACAUGUGGCAACGUGGAGUCAGACAUUUUUAUAAACUCAGCAACUGUUAUUUUUCCAUUUUGUUUUUAAAUAUGCCUUCAUACCUCUGUAAAAACCUUUUUUACCUCAUGUCACAACCACAUAGUACCUCAGAACUCCAGUGUCCUCAGGUCAAUAGUAUGCUGAGUCCCAAAUGGCACCCUAUUCCCUAAAUAGUGCACUACUUUUGACUAGAGCCCAUAGGGCACUGGUGCACUAAAUAGCGAAUAGGUUGUAAUCUGAGACUCGUCCUGUAAAAUGGAUUCUCUCCACAAAAUGGCUGCUGCCAGUUUGCUAUAGGCAGGUUGAAUAUUUGAUAUCAGUGACCAGUCAGUUCAGUCAGUUGUGUGAUUUCAGGGAAAAAACAUUUAACAAGGAAUUGACCAUCUUGAAUUUGGUGAAUCAUCAGAAUUGUUAUUUUCUGGGCAUCUA